AUGCUUUCUCACAGUUAUCUGCUGGCCGUCAUCUUCAUUUCUAUUCAGGGAUCCUGCGGACAGAUUGUGAUGACUCAGACUCCGGAUUCUAUCUCUGUGUCCCCUGGACAGACAGUCACCAUCACAUGUACAUCCAGUGCUGAUGUUUAUGGCUUGGUAGCCUGGUACCAACAGAAGCCCCACCAACCUCCAAAUCUUCUUAUAUAUGAUGCAGGCACUCGUCCAUCUGGGAUCCCGGACAGGUUCAGUGGUUCCAAAUCUGGAAAUGUAUACAAACUAACCAUCACUGGAGGCACUGAAGAUGAUGAAGGAAGUUAUUACUGUCAGCAGGGUUUGAGCUCCCCUCUCACACAGUGA